rnacentral:rRNA from 1 species
AAGGAGGAAAAGAAACCAACCGGGAUUGCCUUAGUAACGGCGAGUGAAGCGGCAAAAGCUCAAAUUUGAAAUCUGGCGUCUUCGACGUCCGAGUUGUAAUUUGAAGAAGGCGACUUUGUAGCUGGUCCUUGUCUAUGUUCCUUGGAACAGGACGUCAUAGAGGGUGAGAAUCCCGUGUGGCGAGGAUCCCAGUUAUUUGUAAAGUGCUUUCGACGAGUCGAGUUGUUUGGGAAUGCAGCUCUAAGUGGGUGGUAAAUUCCAUCUAAAGCUAAAUAUUGGCGAGAGACCGAUAGCGAACAAGUACAGUGAUGGAAAGAUGAAAAGAACUUUGAAAAGAGAGUGAAAAAGUACGUGAAAUUGUUGAAAGGGAAGGGCAUUUGAUCAGACAUGGCGUUUGCUUCGGCUUUCGCUGGGCCAGCAUCAGUUUUAGCGGUUGGAUAAAUCCUCGGGAAUGUGGCUCUGCUUCGGUAGAGUGUUAUAGCCCGUGGGAAUACAGCCAGCUGGGACUGAGGAUUGCGACUUUUGUCAAGGAUGCUGGCGUAAUGGUUAAAUGCCGCCCGUCUGA